rnacentral:rRNA from 1 species
UACGUAGGGUGCAAGCGUUUAUCCGGAAUUAUUGGGCGUAAAGAGCUCGUAGGCGGUCUGUCGCGUCUGCUGUGAAAUCCCGGGGCUCAACCCCGGGCUUGCAGUGGAUACGGGCAGACUAGAGUUCGGUAGGGGAGACUGGAAUUCCUGGUGUAGCGGUGAAAUGCGCAGAUAUCAGGAGGAACACCGAUGGCGAAGGCAGGUCUCUGGGCCAUAACUGACGCUGAGAAGCGAAAGCAUGGGGAGCGAACAGG